rnacentral:rRNA from 1 species
UGCCAGCCGCCGCGGUAACACGGGGGGCGCAAGCGUUAUUCGGAAUUAUUGGGCGUAAAGGGCGCGCAGGCGGGCUUGUAAGUCAGUGGUGAAAUACUGCCGCUCAACGGUAGAACUGCCAUUGAUACUGCAAGUCUUGAAUAUGGUUGAGGUAGGCGGAAUGUGUCGUGUAGCGGUGAAAUGCAUAGAUAUGACACAGAACGCCGAUUGCGAAGGCAGCUUACUAAGCCAUUAUUGACGCUGAGGCACGAAAGCGUGGGGAGCGAACAGGAUUAGAUA